UAGAGAUAGAAAGUUACUUCGGUACAUCGGUGGACAGGUGGUGCAUGGUUGUCGUCAGCUCGUGUCGUGAGAUGUUGGGUUGAGUCCCGCAACGAGCGCAACCCCUAUUGUUAGUUACCAUCAUUCAGUUGGGCACUCUAGCGAGACUGCCGGUAAUAAACCGGAGGAAGGUGGGGAUGACGUCAAAUCAUCAUGCCCCUUAUGACCUGGGCUACACACGUGCUACAAUGGUUGGUACAACGAGUUGCGAGUCGGUGACGGCGAGCUAAUCUCUUAAAGCCAAUCUCAGUUCGGAUUGUAGGCUGCAACUCGCCUACAUGAAGUCGGAAUCGCUAGUAAUCGCGGAUCAGCACGCCGCGGUGAAUACGUUCCCGGGCCUU
rnacentral:rRNA from 1 species